AGAAGUUUAUAGCAAUAAAUAUUUAUUUCCUGCUCACAUUACAGGUCUACCUUGUGGAUCAACUGUUACUGUGCUCAACAUCUUCUACUGUUUACUGGGACCAAAACUGAAGGAAUGGCCGGGUGCGGUGGCUCAAGCCUGUAAUCCCAGCACUUUGGGAGGCCGAGGCGGGUGGAUCAUGAGAGAUCGAGACCAUCCUGGUCAACAUGGUGAAACCCCGUCUCCACUAAAAAUACAAAAAAUUAGCUGGGCACGGUGGCACGUGCCUGUAAUCCCAGCCACUCAGGAGGCUGAGGCAGGAGAAUUGCCUGAACCCAGGAGGCAGAGGUUGCAGUGAGCCGAGAUCGCACCAUUGCACUCCAGCCUGGGUUUUAGGACAUGAGUGUGGAGCAGGUCAAAGGCUGCAAAACACAGAGAGCUAAAGAGAAAAUGGAAAAUAAUGAAGAACCACCAAAAUAGUGAACCAAAGAAGAGAAGAGUCACUGAGAGUAUUUCCAAAACUGAGUUGCUGGUGGAGGAUUAUCUCCGAAAGUUAAGGACAUGGAUGAAGCUGGAAACCAUCAUUCUCAGCAAACUAACACAGGAACAGAAAACCAAAGACAGCAUAUUCUCACUCAUAAUUGGGAGUUGAACAAUGAGAACACAUGGACAGAGGGAAGGAAAUAUCACACACCAGGUCCUAUCAGGGGGUGGGGGGGCUAAAGGAGGGAUAGCAUUAGGCAAAAUACCUAAUAUAGGUGACAGGUUGAUGGGUGCAGUAAACCACUAUGUGACGUGUAUACAUAUGUAACCAACUUGCAUAUUCUACAAAUGUAUCCCAGAACUUAAAGUAUAAUAAUGUUUCUAAAAGUGAUAUGAAAAAGUAUAAAUGCUAUAAUAAAAAAAAAGAAAACAAUGCACUUGGCUUGACCAUUUUUCCCACAAUAUAAAAAAGCAUAAGGAAAUAGAUUAUUUUAGAC
rnacentral:lncRNA from 1 species